UAGCGAAGGGUCUCUCCACCCUCGUCCCCGUGGCUGCAGUUCGUCCCCGUCCCUUUCGCUCUAACCUCGCCAAAGCCGCCGCUCCUGCAGUCCUUCGGCGCCAUCCAAUCUCACGCCAGACUCCCGCGGUAGGAGAGGAGAGUAUGAACGACGUUCCUUGCAGCGGCAACGACGAGGAGCCCUUUCUGUUUCCACCUCCUUUCUUUCAUGGAUGCCGUGUCUUCUUUGCCCGUCAGAGCCCAGAUCUGUCUGUUGUUUGUACUGAUCAUCGUUCGAGAGAAGAGAUGGGAAGAGAUUGAUUCCUGCAUUAAGAAUCUGUCCAAAGACACUAAGAUUCGUUUCUGUAUUGAGAUCUUUUCUUUAGUUAUGACUGAAUUUUCCCAAUAGCUCCUUUUGUAAUUUAUGAUGUCAAUAUCCAAGAAAUUUGAACCUGAGUUUUCAUACUUUAGUAACUGAAUUUCAUUGAUCCAAAUGAUAAUAUUGUAAUCUGUACAGACUUCCUGUGAUUUCUGACCCAACUCAUCUCUAUACAGAUGUCCUGACUGGUGGUGAUUCUGUUCAGGGAGAAGAAAAUAUACAAUUCAUUGUGGCACUGUUAACGCUAGCAUCAGGAGGUUGUUCAUGUCAUCAAAAUGUGCAACCAGAAUGAAAGUGCAACUACACUGCAGCUUCUUCGAGGUAUGCAGAGUAUGUCCUCUCAUACACCCUGUUCUUAAUCUGUCAAUUAUAUCCUAAAGAUAUGGGUUCACCAGGUACAAAGAACAUCUUAGUGGGAUUUCAAAAAAAAAGUUCAACUUAUCAGUGUUAGCUCCCUAUUUUAUUCUCCAUGGAACCCUCUCCUUAAUUAAGACAGGGUAUCCUUAAAAAGAAAUGUAAGACGAAGGAGGGUAGAGGAGAUCGAGGAGGGAGGGGGCCGUUGCGAGGAGAUAGUUGGAGGUCAAGCAUCGGCACUGGAGACGAGGACCCGCGAGCGGGAGAGGCGACGCUGGGCUGGCCAUUUCCACUGCGUCGGCAGAAGCCAGCGGAGUGAGCUCAUCAGCGUGGCAUCAAACUAUACAAUGAAGUCAGAGUCCGGCCAGAUCGUUUGCAAGGUGUGCAUCCCGAAAUCCAUCUCCUUCUUUACUCCCUUUGAUUUCAAUUUCCAGCAAGAGCUUUUCGGCCAACUAGCAGCGAACUAUCCGUCCAAGUCAACAUGAUAAACCCCCUUCCCUUCU